rnacentral:misc_RNA from 1 species
CAUAUUUCCUGGAAUUAUUCGAUAUUUAUAAAUACCUCUUGGUUCAGAUGAUGUUCAUUCAAUAGUAUGAAAAAAUCCCAAGAUUUCCCCUUUGAAAGCCCCCUCUAGCUUGUCGGGUAUCGAUGCACGGCUAAAAAUAAAAGGUCUAUGGGGUUUAAUUUAAUAACCACAGAAAUAUUUUGCAAUGCCCAAUAAAUAUUACUAUAAAAACUACUUGUUUGUACAAAUGUAUUUGAUACUGUGUUAUACAAUUGUUUUUUUUUUAAUGUAUCAUAUGGAUAUUUAAAAUGAUUUAUUAUAAGAAUUACCUUAUUGAUACAUGUACAUUUGCCAUAAGCAUAUAAAAAUAAACAUCUUGAAUUUU